UGCCUUACUUCAGCACAGAGAAAUCGUCUCAGAGUUGCCAUUGAUAUAACCAGUGCCUUGUUAACAGAUGUGACCUGAUCUUUGCAGGGCCUGUCUCAGAUACUUACCUGUAUAUACCUGUGGGAGGAAGAAGAAAAAGGUGUGUCCACCUAGAAUAAUUUGUUUGCUGGAAGUUCUGUUGUUGGCAGAAAAUGGAAGCUACAAACUAGUGUGGUUAUCAGCAGGGAAUGGGAUCAAAGUUUCAGUCCAACAAGUCCAGGCAACUUUCAGCUUGAAGGCCAAGGUGUUACUACUUAGAAUUUAGGGCACAGAAGGCUGGUGUGUGUCGGCAGUGAUAUUUGGGAGAAUGAGUCUGUUUGGGAGACACUUUAGGUCAUACCAGAUCUGCACAGGAAGCACAAAGCUCUGGUUACCACUGGAAGCCGUCUUGCCCCCAUAAACCAGCCUUAGGAUGCCACUGAUGCUGUAUGGCAGAAUGGAGUAACAGAGAGAAUUUGCAGAAUAAAGAAGGGACAAUGCAGUCACCAGGUCAGCAUUAAGGGAAGGCUUGGCUGCAUCAUCUGCCACUCUGCUGCUGCUGACUCUGCCAGUGGGGACAGCACAUGCUUCCUUCUACGCUUGCCUGAGGUUCGUAACUUCAGAGCCCCACAGCAUUUCUGGAAGGAGUAAAAUGAGCUACAUGGUCCGGGAAGCUACUCCUAAGUAGAGUUCACAAUCAAAGGAAUAGAAGCUGGGGAAAACAAUAAAGCAGUCUUCUUCUUCUCAA